GUCGGGACAGCUCAGGU
rnacentral:tRNA from 1 species